UACGAAGGGUGCUAGCGUUGUUCGGAAUUACUGGGCGUAAAGGGCGCGUAGGCGGCGUGUCAAGUCAGGCGUGAAAGCCCCGGGCUCAACCUGGGAACCGCGCUUGAGACUGGCACGCUCGAGUGUGGGAGAGGAUGGUGGAAUUCCCAGUGUAGAGGUGAAAUUCGUAGAUAUUGGGAAGAACACCGAUGGCGAAGGCAGCCAUCUGGACCGACACUGACGCUGAGGCGCGAAAGCGUGGGGAGCAAACAGG
rnacentral:rRNA from 1 species